UUUGGCCUUUAUCGAAGCUACGUAUUUAUUCAGUUGGAUAUGCUAGUCAAAACAAGGCCAAUAUAAAAUGAUCCCUAUCGGUCGCGGCUUAGACGAAAAAUGUCUUCAUACGUAUCACCAAAGGGAUCUACAUAU